ACUAUUUAAAAAAAAUAUUUUAAAAUUAUUAAUAUUUGUAAAUGUAAUUAUUAAUAUUUAUAUUGAAAAAUAUAAUAUUUAAAAAAAAAUUAUAUAUUCAAAAAUGUAAAAAUAUAUAAAUGUAAUGAAUUAUAAUUUUGAACAUAUAAUUUGGAUCUAAGUGCAAUAGAUAUUUGAUAAAAAUAAUUAUUUUGUUUUCUAGUUUUUUUAUCACAAGAAUUUUGAAAAUCACAUGGAUACAUAAGAUAUUUUACGAUAUUUUGAAAAUUGAAUCUUAUGAGUAAAAAUGAAUAGAAUUCAUCUCCCAAUAACACUAGAUUUAGUUAGAAUUAGAUAAUCAAUUAUAACUAAACUUUUUGAGUAACAAGAGAUUUGAAUGGAUUUUGAAAAUUCUUAAACAAAUAACAAUGGAUUCUACUAAAACUUUUGAGAUCGAAAAACCAAGAAGUGAAAAUAGCACAUCUCUAUAUUUUUAUCUAUAAAUAGAGGAUCUCUAUUAUAGAGAGAUACAAUAGAGCAAAUCCACCUCUGUAAUAGAAUGUGGGUUGGAAAUAGUCUAACAACUCCGUAAAUCCAAAAAUUCAAAAAAACUGAAGUCAAAUUUCUGAAUAAUUAUUUGAAACUUAAAUAGCCAUCUUAAAUAAUUUUUUUUAUAUUUUCUGAUAUCUAAAAAUAUUAAAAUAUUUGAAUAUGAACCAAAGCAAACUAAAUCUGAAAUAAGUAUUAGAAAUAAAAUUUGGAAUGCAUUACAAAUUAUAUUCAAACCUGAAACUUUUUAAUCGAAUUUGAGUCCAUUCUAAAAGAAUAAAGCCAAUGAGGAUAUAAACCUAAAUCCGAAACCCAAAUGUCCUUGGUACCAAAAGAAUAAAAAAAGAAAAUUGUCACGUCAAUUACUUAAGUCACUAUUUUAAAAAUAUUAAAAUAAAUUUCUGAGAAAAUUAGUAGAAAUGUUAACACUGGCAGAUUUGGUUGAAUUUCUUUAGAGCCACCUCCAAGGCAUAGCUAAAACGACUUUCUUACUCAUUGAAAUAAUGAAAAACAAAAAGAGAAAUCAGGGGGGGAGAUAAAGUAUCUGAAGAGAGAUUUUAAGAAACCAUGUAGAUCUUACAGUGUGGAUAUUGUAAGAUCGUGUGUUUAGUUAUUAGUCAGUUUUAUUAAAGUUUUAUUAUUUAAAUUGUUGAGAAGCUCAACAAGAGGUUGCCCUAAAUAGAAGUUCAAAUCAAAAUAAUAUUAACUUUAAUUAUGAUUUAAUUAUUAUUUAGAUAAAAUGAUUAAAUAAAAUUAGAUCAUUCAUACACAAACAUAUGAUAAAAAAUCUCAUUUGAAAACACUACUUGAGAAACUCUUCUUUCUUGAAACUGGAAAACUCUUCUUUUUCUUACUUUUAUUAUUACAAAUAGUCACAGCGUAUUUAGGAAACCUAAGAAACGAAACGUUCCAAGAACCUUAAUAUGUCAGCAAUGAAGCAUAAAAACAACAUUUCCACAAACCUACUUUUUGAUAUUCGUUUACAAAAGAAAACU
rnacentral:lncRNA from 1 species